GAUGAACGCUGGCGGCGUGCUUAACACAUGCAAGUCGAACGGGAAGGCGCUGCUGCUGUGGGUUGCUCAGGCGGCGGGCGGGUGAGUAAGUAAUGAGUAACCUCCCCUGGAAUUGGUGAUAACUUCAGGAAACUGGGGAUACUACCGGCUAGUAGCUCCUCCCGCAUGGUGGGGGUUGAAAAGUUUCGGCGGUUGGGGAUGGUCUCGCGGCUUAUCAGCUUGUUGGUGUGGUAGUGGCUCACCAAGGGAUUGACGGGUCGCCGGCCUGGGAGGGUGAGCGGCCACAAUGGGACUGAGAUACGGACCAGACUCCUACGGGAGGCAGCAGUGGGGAAUAUUGCACAAUGGGCGGAAGCCUGAUGCAGCAACGCCGCGUGCGGGAUGACGGCUUUCGGGGUGUAAACCGCGUUCGCCUGUGACGAAGCGUGAGUGACGGUAAUGGGUAAAGAAGCACCGGCUAACUACGUG
rnacentral:rRNA from 1 species